rnacentral:rRNA from 1 species
GAUGAACGCUGGCGGCGUGCUUAACACAUGCAAGUCGAGCGAACAGACGAGGAGUUUGCUCCUUUCACGUUAGCGGCGCACGUGUGUGAAACACGUGUAUACUCUACCUAUAUUACUGGGAUAACUUCGGGACUCCGGCGCUAACACCGGAGAAUAUAUUGAACCGCAUGGUUCAAUAGUGAAUGUCGGUUUUGCUGUCACUUAUAGCUGGUUCCGCGCCGGUUUGGCUAGUUGGUAAGGAAACGGCCUACCAAGGCAAGGCUGCGUAGCCGAACGGAGAGGAGGAUCGGCCGCACUGGGAGUGUGACACGGUCCAUAGUCCUACGGGAGGGAGCAGUAGGGAAUCUUGCGCAAGGGGCGAAAGCUUGACGGAACAACGCGGCGUGAGUGAUGAGGGUCUUCGGAUCGGAGAACUCUGUUAUUAGGGAAGAAAAAAUGUGUAAGUAACUAUGCGCGUCUUGACGGUACCUAAGCAGAGAGGCACGGCUAACUACGUG